rnacentral:rRNA from 1 species
UUUCAAGUCUUUAAGAGCAAACGGUGGAUGCCUUGGCAUCUGGAGCCGAAGAAGGACGUAGCAAUCUGCGAUAAGCCUCGGGGAGUGGAUAAGCACACUUUGAUCCGAGGAUCUCCGAAUGGGGAAACCCCGCUGGGCGGNNNNNNNNNNNNNNNNNNNNNNNNNNNNNNNNNNNNNNNNNNNNNNNNNNNNNNNNNNNNNNNNNNAGUAUCCCAAGUAGCACGGGGCCCGAGAAAUCCCGUGUGAAUCUGUCAGGACCACCUGAUAAGCCUAAAUACUCCCAGAUGACCGAUAGCGGACAAGUACCGUGAGGGAAAGGUGAAAAGUACCCCGGGAGGGGAGUGAAAUAGUACCUGAAACCGUUUGCUUACAAACCGUUGGAGCAGCCCUAGCAGCUGUGACAGCGUGCCUUUUGAAGAAUGAGCCUGCGAGUUAGCGAUACGUGGCGAGGUUAACCCGUGAGGGGUAGCCGUAGCGAAAGCGAGUCUGAAUAGGGCGAUUCAGUCGCGUGUCCUAGACCCGAAGCGAAGUGAUCUAUCCAUGGCCAGGCUGAAGCGACGGUAAGACGUCGUGGAGGGCCGAACCCACUUAGGUUGAAAACUGAGGGGAUGAGCUGUGGAUAGGGGUGAAAGGCCAAUCAAACUUCGUGAUAGCUGGUUCUCUCCGAAAUGCAUUUAGGUGCAGCGUUGCGUGUUUCUUGCCGGAGGUAGAGCUACUGGAUGGCCGAUGGGCCCCACCAGGUUACUGACGUCAGCCAAACUCCGAAUGCCGGUAAGUGAGAGCGCAGCAGUGAGACUGUGGGGGAUAAGCUUCAUAGUCGAGAGGGAAACAACCCAGACCACCAACUAAGGUCCCAAAGCGCGUGCUAAGUGGGAAAGGAUGUGGAGUUGCUCAGACAACCAGGAGGUUGGCUUAGAAGCAGCCACCCUUGAAAGAGUGCGUAAUAGCUCACUGGUCAAGUGAUUCCGCGCCGACAAUGUAACGGGGCUCAAGCACGCCACCGAAGUUGUGGCAUUGACAUUAGUGGUAGGCCUUCGUGGUCCAGCCGUGUUGAUGGGUAGGAGAGCGUCGUGUCGCGAGUGAAGCGGCGGGGUAACCCAGCCGUGGACGCGACACGAGUGAGAAUGCAGGCAUGAGUAGCGAAAGACGUGUGAGAAACACGUCCUCCGAAAGACCAAGGGUUCCAGGGUCAAGCUAAUCUUCCCUGGGUAAGUCGGGACCUAAGGCGAGGCCGACAGGCGUAGUCGAUGGACAACGGGUUGAUAUUCCCGUACCGGCGAAGAACCGCCCGAGGCGGUGUGAGGGCUAGCGCAUGACCCCAUGCUGGUGCGGUUAGCGUAUUAACAGGUGUGACGCAGGAAGGUAGCCCAAGCCAGGCGAUGGUAGUCCUGGUGCAAGUGCGUAGGCUGAGUGAUAGGCAAAUCCGUCACUCGUUCGGCUGAGACACGAUGCGGAUAAAAAGUGGGUGAUCCUAUGCUGCCGAGAAAAGCAUCGACGCGAGGUUCAAGCCGCCCGUACCCCAAACCGACUCAGGUGGUCAGGUAGAGAAUACCAAGGAGAUCGAGAGAAUCGUGGUUAAGGAACUCGGCAAAAUGCCCCCGUAACUUCGGGAGAAGGGGGGCCUUCGACGUGAAAGCGUUUGGAGGCCGCAGAGACUAGUGGGUAGCGACUGUUUACUAAAAACACAGGUCCGUGCCAAGUCGCAAGACGAUGUAUACGGACUGACGCCUGCCCGGUGCUGGAAGGUUAAGAGGAAGGGUUAGCGUAAGCGAAGCUCAGAAUUUAAGCCCCAGUAAACGGCGGUGGUAACUAUAACCAUCCUAAGGUAGCGAAAUUCCUUGUCGGGUAAGUUCCGACCUGCACGAAUGGCGUAACGACUUCCCAACUGUCUCAACCGCGAACUCGGCGAAAUUGCAUUACGAGUAAAGAUGCUCGUUACGCGCAGCAGGACGGAAAGACCCCGUGACCUUUACUACAGCUUGGUAUUGGUGUUCGGUGUGGCUUGUGUAGGAUAGGUGGGAGACUUUGAAGCUUGGACGCCAGUUCAGGUGGAGUCAUUGUUGAAAUACCACUCUGGUCACUCUGGAUAUCUAACUUAGAACCGUAAUCCGGUUCAGGGACAGUGCCUGGUGGGUAGUUUAACUGGGGCGGUUGCCUCCCAAAAAGUAACGGAGGCGCCCAAAGGUUCCCUCAAUCUGGUUGGCAAUCAGAUGUCGAGUGUAAGUGCACAAGGGAGCUUGACUGUGAGACUGACAGGUCGAGCAGGGACGAAAGUCGGGACUAGUGAUCCGGCAGUGGCUUGUGGAAGCGCUGUCGCUCAACGGAUAAAAGGUACCUCGGGGAUAACAGGCUGAUCUUGCCCAAGAGUCCAUAUCGACGGCAUGGUUUGGCACCUCGAUGUCGGCUCGUCGCAUCCUGGGGCUGGAGUAGGUCCCAAGGGUUGGGCUGUUCGCCCAUUAAAGCGGUACGCGAGCUGGGUUUAGAAC